rnacentral:rRNA from 1 species
UUGGUGGCGACCGGCGCACGGGUGCGUAACGCGUAUGUAACCUACCUUAUACAGGGGCAUAACACUGAGAAAUUGGUACUAAUUCCCCAUAACACUUUAGAGGGCAUCCUUUAGAGUUAAAAGUUCCGGCGGUAUAAGAUGGACAUGCGUUGUAUUAGCUAGUUGGUGAGGUAACGGCUCACCAAGGCGACGAUACAUAGGGGGACUGAGAGGUUAACCCCCCACAUUGGUACUGAGACACGGACCAAACUCCUACGGGAGGCAGCAGUGAGGAAUAUUGGUCAAUGGACGCAAGUCUGAACCAGCCAUGCCGCGUGCAGGAUGACGGCUCUACGAGUUGUAAACUGCUUUUGUACGAGGGUAAACCUAGAUACGUGUAUCUAGCUGAAAGUACCGUACGAAUAAGGAUCGGCUAACUCCGUGCCAGCAGCCGCGGUAAUACGGAGGAUCCAAGCGUUAUCCGGAUUUAUUGGGUUUAAAGGGUGCGUAGGCGGUUUGAUAAGUUAGAGGUGAAAGCUCGGGGCUCAACUCCGGAACUGCCUCUAAUACUGUUGAACUAGAGAGUAGAUGCGGUAGGCGGAAUGUAUGGUGUAGCGGUGAAAUGCGUAGAGAUCAUACAGAACACCGAUUGCGAAGGCAGCUUACCAAACUAUAUCUGACGUUGAGGCACGAAAGCGUGGGUAGCAAACAGGAUUAGAUA